UACGUAGGGGGCAAGCGUUGUCCGGUUUUAUUGGGCGUAAAGAGCGUGUAGGCGGCUGGGUAGGUCCGUUGUGAAAACUCGAGCUCAACCUCGAGACGCCGAUGGAAACCCUCCAGCUAGAGUCCGGAAGAGGAGAGUGGAAUUCCUGGUGUAGCGGUGAAAUGCGCAGAUAUCAGGAAGAACACCCGUGGCUAAGGCGGCUCUCUAGUACGGUACUGACGCUGAGACGCGAAAGCGUGGGGAGCGAACAGG
rnacentral:rRNA from 1 species